GGAGGCAGCAGUGGGGAAUAUUGGACAAUGGGGGCAACCCUGAUCCAGCCAUGCCGCGUGAGUGAAGAAGGCCUUCGGGUUGUAGAGCUCUUUCAGAUGCGAAGAUGAUGACGGUAACAUCAGAAGAAGCCCCGGCUAAUUUCGUGCCAGCAGCCGCGGUAAUAGGCUCCCACGGGAGGCAGCAGCCAGCAGCCGCGGUAAUACCCUACGGGAGCCAGCAGCCGCGGUAAUAGGUCCUACGGGAGCCAGCAGCCGCGGUAAUAGGCCCUACGGGAGCCAGCAGCCGCGGUAAUAGGCCUUACGGGAGCCAGCAGCCGCGGUAAUAAU
rnacentral:rRNA from 1 species